UCAGAGUAAUUAUGCCCCGAAGGGUGUCACACAAUCAUUUCACAACAUUUAUCAAAAUAUCCUGUCAUGCUCAUUUAUUUAAUCAAAAUAAGACUCUUUUGCAUAAUUUGCAGCGGAUACAAAACAUCGACAUUCAAAGCAUGUACUACAUUACAUGUAAAGUUGAUCAACAACUGAAUUAAAACAUAUUCAAACAUCCCCUCCCGAUGUUACAUCUACCAGAGCAUGACCC
rnacentral:lncRNA from 1 species